GUAUGUCUCAAGGAUGCUUGAUUCAUCCCAUUUCUGGGAUUUCUUCCUCUUUGCAUCUUGACUAUUACUUCCAGACUGCUGACCGGCAGCCACCACCGAGGAACCCGACGAGCUUUUGUUUUUCAGGAUCCCCUUGAUGCCCAGUUGUGAGGAGCUGGAGGCUGAGGCUGACAUCCUUUGGGAGCAAAGGGCAGCACAAGAGUUGGGCAGCCGGGCAGCGGAGCAGCCGCCAGAAUCCCUCCAGUCUGAAACCGCAGCGAAGUCUGUCUGGGCAACAGGUCCCAACGCCCUAGUUGCAGCACCAAGGCCCUGGUGUCACAAAGGUUGCUGCGUAUGACGUCACAGUGGUCGCCGCCUCCGUCACCGCUACCGUUACCGUUGCCGUUGCCCUUGCUGUUACCGUUGCCCUUAGCUCUACCGUUACAACCACCGUUGCCUUUGCCAUCACCAUUGCUGUUAUCGCUGACGUCACCGCUACCGUUGCAGUUACCGUUGCUGCUACUGUUGCUUCUGCAGUUACCGCGACCUUUAGCGCUACGGAUACAACUACCGUUGCCGUUAUCGCUGCGGUCACCGCUACAGUUACAGUUAUGUUGGCUGUGACUCAGGUAAGAUCAGAUUCACCAUUGGACCCCUGGAGCUCUCAUCCAGAAUCUGAAGUAUGCACCUUUGAAACCUUUGUCUUCACUCUUGACUGACUGAUCAGGAAUCCAUUGGUAAAUCCACCUCUUGAGCCAGUGCUUCAGAUGGCAGUCUGUGGAAGCAUGGUGAGGAUGCAUUUUGAUUCUUAUGAUUCUGAAUAUACUCUCUGAAGCUGGGUUAGUCUGCAGCUUUUUAUGAAAGGCACCUGAGCCUCCUGCACUCCAGCCUGGGUGACAGAAUGCGACCCUGUCUCAAAAAAACGAAUAGAAAAGGCACCUGUUGGGCUGGAAGUCUUUCUUCCUGGCUCUUUGUUUGGGGCGGAGUUAUAUAUAUUCUGUGAUUCCUGGGCCUGGUCCUGGCUAGAAAAUUCUUCCUGCCCCCCACCCUUAUUUAAUUACUUCCUGGUUCCCUGGCCUGGAAUACUUUCCUGACUCUUUUGUUUCAAGUAAGGGUCCACCGUAUGAUUACUGGGCUGGAAACUUUAUUUUUCCCGUCUCUCUGUUUGAUCCUGCUUCUCCCAUAGAAACUGCUCAGUUGUCUGAAACCCCUCCUCUUGAAACCCUGCUCAGACCAGCUCUGUCUACUUCCUUUCUUAUUGGCAUGCUUUUGCUGAGAAUUAUUUGGAACUCCAAUGGCCUCAUUGAGGAACUCGAGAUCUCCUCAAACUGGCUCCUCUAUGGUCUCUUCCUUCCCAUUGCUUCUUCCUCUUACCGCCUUCGAUCUUCCCUUUUGCUCCCUUGAAUUCCUUGAUAUGUUCCCUUCAAACCCCUGCCUGCUCCACUUCUCUGUCCACCCCUGACAGACAUUUCCCUUCUCACUCUAGCUCAACUCCCUCAGGCAUUUGAACUUUAAUCCUCCCACUCACAUCAGGGCCUCUCAAGGGACUGAGAUACCUGAAAGCCACUAUCUGAGGCUGAAAAAAAGAAAGGCUGCUUGGAAACAGACUGGAUUUUUUUUGGUU
rnacentral:lncRNA from 13 species